rnacentral:piRNA from 1 species
UUCCUUGAGAAGUGCCAACACUUAUUAGUGC